rnacentral:rRNA from 1 species
AUUGAACGCUGGCGGCAUGCCUAACACAUGCAAGUCGAACGGCAGCACAAUAAAGAUUUCGGUCUUUAUGGGUGGCGAGUGGCGGACGGGUGAGUAACGCGUAGGAAUCUGUCCUGGAGAGUGGGAUAACCCGAGGAAACUCGGGCUAAUACUGCAUGACAUUGAGAGAUCAAAAGCAGGGGACCGAAAGGCCUUGCGCGCGGGGGUGAGCCUACGUCGGAUUAGCUAGUUGGUGGGGUAAAGGCCUACCAAGGCGACGAUCCGUAGCUGGUCUGAGAGGAUGACCAGCCACACUGGGACUGAGACACGGCCCAGACUCCUACGGGAGGCAGCAGUGGGGAAUCUUGGACAAUGGGGGAAACCCUGAUCCAGCGAUGCCGCGUGUGUGAAGAAGGCCUUCGGGUUGUAAGGCACUUUAGGUGGGGAAGAAAGGUAGCGAGUGAAUAACUUUCUGCUGUGACGGUACCCACAGAAUAAGCACCGGCUAACUCUGUGCCAGCCGCCGCCGUAA